AGGACGAACGCUGGCGGCGUGCUUAACACAUGCAAGUCGAGCGGUAAGGCUCCUUCGGGGGUACACGAGCGGCGAACGGGUGAGUAACACGUGGGUGACCUGCCCUCAGCUCUGGGAUAAGCCUGGGAAACUGGGUCUAAUACUGGAUAUGACUGCGCAUCGCAUGGUGUGUGGUGGAAAGUUUUUUCGGCUGGGGAUGGGCCCGCGGCCUAUCAGCUUGUUGGUGGGGUGAUGGCCUACCAAGGCGACGACGGGUA
rnacentral:rRNA from 1 species